GGAAGACCUGCGGCGGCGGGAGAGGAGCUCUGGCCCGGGCUGCGCGCAGGACGACGCACCGCCCCCGCUCCCGGAGUCCCGCCCCCCGCUCACCUUCACCACCUCCUCAGGGUGCUGCGCCUCCUCGCGGUAGAUCUCCUUGCUGUGGUGGAGGUAUUAGUGCAAGAGGCGGAAGGUCCGGGUGUUCGUGCGGUCCAUCACCUGGUCGGGACCGCCCAACACCUUCUGCAUGAAGGCGGUGUCCACAGGGCCGCACUCGAUCAGGCUCACGCUGCUGGCCCGAGAGCCGCAAGUGGGCAGGGACGGAGGCGACCCAGGCGCCAAGUCCCAUCUCCUGCCCCAGCACCGGCCCCGACCCCGGCCCUGGCCACGACCCAGAACAGCACCGCUGCGUCCCGAAGGUGGAAAGAGCGCUGGGGAUAACCAGAACAUUUGAAUAGCGGGUUAUUGCUCGACAGCCCUCCCAAACCCAUCUGAGGCUGCCAGGUAGCCCUGGUGUCAGAAUUCGAACCUGGCGGGAUCCCCGGCCGCUGCAUGACCUUGGGCCAGUCACCUAACCUCUCUUGGCUGGAGCUUCCCCAUAACAAUACCAACACUUCAGCAGCCAGGUCAGCAAGUGGCACAAUGCGUGCCAAUGCUCCAGCCUAAGUGCCUGGCACGCAGCAAAUGUAAGCCGGGCAGAGACCAGAGCGGCUUCCGCAGGACAGGGUGCUCGGCAUCUCUAGGUCAGAGUUAAGAGGGUUGAGGAGACGGGGGUGUUGACUCACUGGACCCCAAAGGGCAGCAGCAGAACCGCCAGACUCUCGCAUAAGCCUUCGAGCGCGAACUUGCUGGCGCAAUAAACGUCAUUGAAAGGCAGCCCUUGGGUGGGAAGAUGAGGUUCCUGAGGCGCAGCGGCCAGGGGGUCAUCCCCCGGCAGGCAGUGCCCCUCCAAGCUGAUUGCACCCCACCCCCUAAGGAGCCUGCCUUCAAGGCUCAGCUCUGCACACAAAGAAUCUGGAGCUCCGGGCCCGGUCCCUGCCACUCACCCAUCAAUCCUCCCAUGCUCCCAGUCACCAACACGCGUCCCGAACCCGGCCGCUUCAUGUCUGGCAGGAAGUCCUGCAGCACCCGCACAGUACCUACUACAUUCACAUCCAGUACAGAGGCCACAGCGUCCUCCCCCAGCGGCCCCAGCAGGCCCAGGCCUGUGUCACACACUGCGGGGACAGAGGCCCAACCAGCCCGCCUCAGCAUCACCCUCAGCACGGCCUGUCCCCUCAUGCUCCAGGGGCCUGGGGACAUGUUGGUUUCAACGCAGGGCGGAGAAGGCUCCUAGGAGCCCAUAUGCUUCCAGGAGGCUCACCCAGCACAUCCACACGGCCCUCGGUCACGCGUUCCCGGGCAGCGGCCAGGGAGCUUGAGUUCCUUACAUCCAGCUGCAACCUCUCCAGGGAUCCCUGAGGGCAUGCCAGGGCCCGGGCCGCCUCCCACAGCCGGCCCUGUGUUUUCAGGUCCCUCAACGUGGCAUACACUGGAGGUUUUGGGAGAGGAGGAAGAUCUGACUUCUCUUCUGGCCUCCAAGGGCUUUUCCCUUCUCUCCCUCCCUGUCCCUACCUAUCUAUACCUUUGAAGCUCUGGGAUGGGUCCAAAGCCAGAUGUAUUGCCAAGUGCAGGCCAAUACCUGAGGAACAGCCGGUGAUGAGCACCACGGUGCAGGCCAUGGUGAGACUGUGGGGAGAGGCUGGGGCUCUGGGCUGGAUAUCACCUGCUUCGCCCCGCCCCGCCUGCGGGCCCCCACCCCUUGUUGUGUCUCCCACGCAAUCUCAAGGAUAAGCCCUCCUGCGGGUCCCUGGCCCGCUCUCCCCACCCUGUUCUGAGCCAAAACAGACAUGAGCCCACUGCUUGGAACAACAAACUGUCCUCGUUUCUGGUCAGAGGGAGGGGAGGCUUUACAAGCAGAUGUGGGUUCCCACGUGGGCACAGAGUGGCCCCCUGGGCAGAUUCCCCUGGGUAUGCCUCUGUGCCACAGGAGCGAUUAUAGUGACCGCAGUUUGCUGCAGAGGCUGUGAAAGUAAAGGUGUUGGGAGGUGGGAGAUGAUUGUAUAUGUGUUGGUUUCGUCCAGGGUUCCUAGCUCAUAACUCACAUGACCAUGGUUACAGUCUUUCGUUGUCAUGUUGGGGCGCCUCAGGCCUCAAAAAACAGCCUUUCCUCUCUUUGACCUUCUCCUGUCCUCUUUUCAGCUGCCCAAGGCAGGAUUCUAAUCUGAUUGUGGGUUGUAGGAUCCUCAUUCCAGAGUGGGUCCUUGCCCCAUACCCUGGAGAAAGGAAUGCUGCACAAAGGCCCAAAGAAUCUGGACUGGCCUUGCUGGGCUUAGAUCAGACCCUUUUUGCCCAAUCACAUUAUCACAGUUGUCCAUGCUUCAGUCAUGGACAGCCAAUGGAGUUCUCCAUAAAAGGCCCAAAGGACAGGGUUCGGGAAGCUUCUGAGAGCUGAACGUGUGGAGGCUGACAGAAGGUGAAGAACUCAUCCAUGUGCCUGGAGGGUGAUGUAACCCCAACUCUAUGGAGAUAGAAGCUCCUGCUCUGGGCCCUUCCAGACCGCCCUGUCUGUAUCUCUUCAUAUGGCUGUUUAUUUCUAUCCUUUAAAAUAUCCUUUGAGGUUGGGCACGGUGGCUGAUGCCUGUAAUCCCAGCACUUUGGGAGGCCAAGGCAAGGGGAUUGCUGGAGCUCAGGAGUUCAAGACCAGCCAGGGCAACAGAAUGAGACCCCGUCUUUGCAAAAACUACAAAAAAAUUAGCUGGGUGUGGUGGUGUAUGCUUA
rnacentral:lncRNA from 1 species